ACAGCCUGCUGGGAAGCUGCAGAUGGGCAGGGUCUGCAGCUGCGCAGAGAAUGAAAUGGAUGGUCCAACACAGACAAGGCCGACCACUCCACCGGAUGAAAGCCUUGUCAGAGCAAAUCUGUAGAUUUGUGGCAGAAACCACGAAAUGGGGCUAUUUGGAGUGGCAUUAAGAGGAGUUUACCAGAACACAGGUAUUCUUUCACCUUUUGGGGGAAUUUCUAUAAGUUUAUAAUUGUUCAUACAUACAUACAUAUAUACAUACCUUAAUUAUACUUAAUUGGAUCUGUUUCUUUUGAGUUCAUAGGAAGAAAAAUUAGAUACUAAUUUAGGUCUGCUUUCUUUUCUAACCUGCAUUUUAACGUUUAGAUUUUACCUAAAAUUCUGAUGCUAUAAGGGGACUGAGGCUAAUAUUGUUGGUUUUCUGCUAAAGACUAAAAUCUAUCAUUUCUUUACAGAUUACCAGUUCCUUUUCAUUGGAAAGAGAAUUCUUUUCACAUCAACUAUAUUCAAGUCUACAACAGGUUAAACGUGACCAUGUUUAUGAUCAACUUCAAUAGAGCAUGAAUAGUCUACCUCAUUUUGUUUGAUUAUACAUAGCCUCUUUAUCAGUGAGAAAUAUGAGUUCAUUGAUUUGAGAAAUCAAUAUAAAAAUUGUAUGCAGGGUGGUUUCAAAAUCAUACUGAGGAAGCAACAUUUCUAAUUGCAGUUUUCUCAGACAACCCUUUUGUCAUUUGGGGAGGGAAUGUCCAGUUAUUUUUUAAGCUACCUGGGUAAGAUUCCUUUCCUCACUACUUUCAGAAAUCAGGCUUUUUACGUACAUUCAAAAAGGAGGUAUGCUGUUUUGUCCAUAUUACUUCACAGGGUAACCCAACUUACUGUUUACUGUGUACAAAGUGUAGGAUUAAUCUUUAUGCUAAAAAAUGUAUACAAUUUUAAGACAAGACCAUGGAAGUGCUUUAGUGCAUUACAGUAAUUAUCUUCAUCUUACCCAUGAAACCUUUCAUGACCCAAGUGACCUUGUAGUUAUUAAUAAUUAUAUUGGUUUAUUACUCCUGCACAACACCCUUUUCACAGUGUUACAUACACGAGGUUUCGAUUUUUUUCUACCCCAUCUUUUUAUUUAGUUCUGUGCCUCUUGUAUAAUAAAGUACAUUUCGUGGCAGUUAGGCAUGUAGUUGCCUAAGGAUGGAAAGUAUUGAGAAAUUAUGAUAUUCUAAUAAGAUAUCCCUGUAGGUACUGUGGAGAAAGGUGUACUAAAAUUCUCACGUUAAUUAAGACUGUUUUCCCUUCCUUUUUAGUUGUAAUAUAUUUUAUAUAUGCUAGUAAACACAUCUAUAUUCUAUACUCAGGGAUCACACUUUAUUCCAUUGAUUGAGAUAUAUAUGUUUAUUUCACACUAUAUUUUGUUUCUAGUAUUAUUUUUGUUUGUUUUCUUGCUGCUAAUUUAGAUGUUAAUGUUUUGUUCCAGUUUAUAAUCUCUUGUGGGCAGAAGAUGACAGAACUGACAUACUACAGAGGAAGGUAUGAAGAGUUACAGCGAGCAAGUAUGGGCCAUUCUCUCAGGUAUUUCUGCAGAAGCCACCCAUUAUAAGUGCACCAAACUUAUGUAUCAUUGGUAAGAAUUGCUCACAUGUGUUUAUACAUUAUGGCCGUUUUAAAGCAUAGAUUAACCCAUAAUGUUCAAGAGAGAGCCUCCUUGUUUUUCUUUUAAAUUCAUUUGUUUUGAUUUCGUGCAUAUAAUUAUUUUGUCUAUAUUUUUUUUUGUUGUUGUUGUUUUCUUUUGGGCAACACUUCCAUUCCUGGUAGCUGCUGUGGCCAGAAGAUGAUACUGAAUUUCUGAGAGCUGGAGUCAAGGGUGAUUGUGAGUUACCAUGUGGGUGCUGACAAAGGAACACAAGUCCUUUGGAAGUGCUCCUAAUCCAAGCCAUAUCACGAGACAGAGUCACCUUAGCUUUGUUGUUGUUGUUGAUGAUGAUGUUGUUGUUGUUUUUGACACAGAGUCUCUCACAGGGACCUGAGUUUCACAGAUUUGACUGCCUGACCAGGGACCUCCAGGGACAUGGAAUUCUUGACUUUCCAGUGUUUGCUAGGACUGAAGAUGUGUACCACCAUCACCCCACGGUUGUAAGGAAGCCAUACGUGUCUGACUGAAAAAUGGAUUACUUAGAUAAGGAUGACCCUUGAAGAACAAUCUUGCUUUGGGUUGAGAUACUUCAGUUAUGAAGACCACUUAGCCAGAGGCAGAACUACAGAAGGAAAAAGCAAGAUCUACCUGAGGACCAAGCUAUGUCACUCUUUGGAAUAUACC
rnacentral:sRNA from 1 species